UACGUAGGUGGCAAGCGUUGUCCGGAUUUAUUGGGCGUAAAGCGCGCGCAGGCGGUCCUUUAAGUCUGAUGUGAAAUCUUGCGGCUCAACCGCAAGCGGUCAUUGGAAACUGGGGGACUUGAGUACAGAAGAGGAAAGCGGAAUUCCACGUGUAGCGGUGAAAUGCGUAGAGAUGUGGAGGAACACCAGUGGCGAAGGCAGCUCGCUGGGACGGUACUGACGCUGAGACGCGAAAGCGUGGGGAGCAAACAGG
rnacentral:rRNA from 1 species